rnacentral:rRNA from 1 species
CCUACGGGUGGCAGCAGUGGGGAAUAUUGGGCAAUGGGCGCAAGCCUGACCCAGCAACGCCGCGUGAAGGAAGAAGGCUUUCGGGUUGUAAACUUCUUUUCUCAGGGACGAAGAAAGUGACUGUACCUGAGGAAUAAGCCACGGCUAACUACGUGCCAGCAGCCGCGGUAAUACGUAGGUGGCAAGCGUUAUCCGGAUUUACUGGGUGUAAAGGGCGUGUAGGCGGGAGUGCAAGUCAGAUGGGAAAACUAUGGGGUCAACCCAUAGCCUGCAUUUGAAACUGUACUUCUUGAGGGCUGUAGAGGCAAUCGGAAUUCCGUGUGUAGCGGUGAAAGGCGUAGAUAUACGGAGGAACACCAGUGGCGAAGGCGGAUUGCUGGACAGUAACUGACGCUGAGGCGCGAAAGCGUGGGGAGCAAACAGGAUUAGAUACCCGAGUAGUC